rnacentral:lncRNA from 1 species
CUAUUGUUAUACACCUAGAAAACAAAACUCUUCAUCCUCAUGAAUUAAAGGUGCAACAGAUCCUCACCAAAGUUGUGGUCCUCAUCAAAGUUGUUUUUUUCGUCCUCAAUAGCAUCAUAUUCCAAAUUAGAAUUAUUCUCUAAUGAAAUUGGUGUAAUUAGUGUUACAACAAAGUUAGCAGCUUUACCACAUCGCCGGUGCAUAAAAAGAUGUCAAGGCUACAAUGUAAAAUUGAACUGCUGCUCAACAACCUUCAACUUGUUUUACAUUCACCGCAUACUACCUCAGGUGGCCAAAUUAUUAAUAUUUUUAUUCCAUAUUCUAAAGCAUAUAACAACCAUACAAACCAAUAUCAUCAUCCUCUUCCAACUUACAUCUUUGGCACUCUUCAUAAAUUUUUCUCUCCGUGAAGAGAAAGCGAAAUAAAAGUUCAUAGAGGAAAAAAUAGUAAAUAAAUGAAAAAGGCUUUUAAUUAUCACUGAACAAACACGUUCAAUGACAUAAAGAAAAAUAGUGCGCGAGGCAUCCAAACUGAGUCAAGGAAACCAAUGGACCAACACUAGUAUGCCAUAGCUCAAAAUUUAGUGUCUUCCUUGUCCAUGUAGUAAAUCAAGUUAAAAUAGUAAAAAUUCACCAUUCAAAGAUCACAAGAAAUAGGAAUCAAGAAUCUUUACCAUGAAUCCAUAAAGUUUUCACUUGUACUUAAAUACACUUAAACAGUGAUUUGGUGUUACUUCAACGACAAAUUCUUCAAUAAAAUAAUAUUACACGCAAUUUCAAAACUUUUCCUUAUUUUUUAACUACACAUUUCUUAUCAAUACACUAUUCAAAAAUGCAAUCUUAUGAAAAUAAUGUGGCUCAAACAAGAGCUUAAUAUGCAAUCUAAUUACUCAAACAAUUCUAUGCAAAUAUAAAAUAUUAGAGUAAGAAAACAAAUAUUAACUAGAAUGAUCCUGCAAUUCUUUUAACAGAUUCAUCUCUUCAUAGUAGAGUCCCAGCUUCAACUUUUGUUCAAUAGAGCUCGUGUAUCUAAGGUUUUUUUCCUUUCUUGCUUCAACCCCAAAAACACUUUGAAAUGACCCAUCUUCACAUCAACCAAUCAAUUAAAAAUAUAGCAUCUUUUUCUAUUCAAAAAUCACACCAUUUACCAAAUAGGCAAAUUCAUGCACACUUAUUGAAUGAAAUCAAAAGGUAAAGAAAGGAAUUACGUAGUUAUUAGGAAGGACAAAAAAUAAAAUAAAAUAGAGCCAAGACAAAUAUUCAAAAAAUCAAGAAGCAUAAGAGGAACUAAUGAUAUAUCCACACGAAAUCAUACUCGUACAAAUCAAAGAAAGGGUCAGAUUGUAUUAUAUUAAGGAAAUGAAAAAUAGACAACCUGUUGCAGAUGUAGGACGGGUUAAAUUCACCAAUGCCACUCAACUUUAUACUUAGUUUCACCAUGGCCACUCAAUUUCAUUUUGUUUCAUCAGGGCCACUAAAAUUUUUAUUUAGUGUCACAAAGGGCAUCUAAUUUGAUUUUAUUUUUCCGUGACCAUCCAAUUUCAUAUAAAGUUUC